GGCUACAACCACACCACCCUGAAUGCACCUGUUCACGUCUGAACUCAGAAGCUAAGCAGGAUUGAGCCUGGUUGGAACUCGGAUGGGAAGGAAAGGGACAGUGCUUCAGGUAGGAAUACUCA
ensembl:rRNA 5S_rRNA 5S ribosomal RNA